UCCCUCCCUGCAGUUCCUGCGCCGGCUCCGGCAGAGGGCGCGAGAGAGCCGAUGCCGGGUUUCGUUUCUCUUUCCAAGAGCGUCACUUCGGGCUCAGCAGCUGGCUAAGGCUGAUGGGAGUUGUAGUCCGAGGGCCAGGUGGAGAAGGCUGGUUCAGAGAGGCAGUGAGGGACGGGUAAUUCUGUUUGAGAAGAAGCCCAUCAGUGGAAGUGUCUCUGUUGCCCAGGGAGAGAGGUAUUUGUCUGCAAUUGAGCAAGGUAACUCACAGGAGUGUAGAGAGCAGAGGAGAAAGGCCACAAAGCUGCAAGGGUGACCUUAGGCUAAUCACCAUCCCUCCUCCUACCCUACCUUCCAGGGUUACUGGAUCACAGAGGGCAAGAAAAAGGACCGUGUACGCUGUUCUGACCUUGAAAGAAGAGGUGAGCUAAAAAUGUUACAAAUUGAAAACAGGUAUACCUGGUAAAUGUACUCACUUUUAAAUAACACACCCCCUAAGAGGCAUGCCCCAACAUCCCUUGAAAUCUGAGUUACCUUUUGGAUCUGUUCCUUAGGACAGAGAAUAUUCAGCAUGUGAUUCUGUGCUAAUGAAUGGGGUGAAAACCGUUAGAUUUCAGAUCUGUGCAAAUCUUCAUGCGUAACUUUGCAGGCGGGGAAUGCAUUGUGUAAGUGACUCAGGCAGCCUCUCAUCUUAAUACUGAUACAAAUCUGAGGUCACUACAGAGGUGCGAUGUCAUGGGAAGACUU